rnacentral:rRNA from 1 species
UGAGGAACAUGACCUUCGGCGGGGGAUAGCCGGCCCAACGGCCGGGUAAUACCGCGUACGACCACAUGGGGACAUCCCUGAGUGGUGAAAGCAGCAACGCGCCGAUGGAGUGCCUCGCGGCCUAUCAGCUAGUUGGUGAGGUAACGGCUCACCAAGGCGACGACGGGUAGCUGGUCUGAGAGGAUGGCCAGCCACAGUUGGGACUGAGACACGGCCCAGCUCCGUAGGGACGG